GACGAACGCUGGCGGCGUGCUUAACACAUGCAAGUCGAACGGAAAGGCCCUGCUUUUGUGGGGUGCUCGAGUGGCGAACGGGUGAGUAACACGUGAGUAACCUGCCCUUGACUUUGGGAUAACUUCAGGAAACUGGGGCUAAUACCGGAUAUGAGCUCCUGCUGCAUGGUGGGGGUUGGAAAGUUUCGGCGGUUGGGGAUGGACUCGCGGCUUAUCAGCUUGUUGGUGGGGUAGUGGCUUACCAAGGCUUUGACGGGUAGCCGGCCUGAGAGGGUUACCGGCCACAUGGGGACUGAGAUACGGCCCAGACUCCUACGGGAGGCAGCAGUGGGGAAUAUUGCACAAUGGGCGGAAGCCUGAUGCAGCAACGCCGCGUGCGGGAUGACGGCCUUCGGGUUGUAAACCGAUUUCGCCUGUGACGAAGCGUGAGUGACGGUAAUGGGUAAAGAAGCACCGGCUAACUACGUG
rnacentral:rRNA from 1 species